UAAAGGAGCAAGGUUCUGUUUCUGGCUUUUAUGGGUGGAAAAUAAGCUUGAAAUAUAAAAUGGCAAACUACCGCACAAAACUGCGCAAUAUCGGAUGUUCCGAGCUGAAUGUGAAUUCCUUCAAGCGUAAACAAGGUGAUCCACGCACAUCUCCAAAUCAAGUGAAGAAAGCUAGAAGAGCAGAAGUGAACUACUGUCCAGAUUAUCCAACAGGACAAUCCCAAGAGAGCCUUGAGGAAGAGAGACUGGCAUUAUUGUCCGAAGUAAGAAAGAGCAACAACCAACAGGUGGUUAAGGAGAAAAUGGAGAAGACAUUUGCUUACAGGCGGCAUGAAGUGAUUGAAGAAAAGCCUUUCAUUGCUGAAUUCAAAAGAAGGUGGCCAGCUCUUUUCUCUGAGCAGGAGGUAGAAGCAGAGUUUACUCGCAUCACCACUGUACCACUGAGAUCGAAA